AGAGUUUGAUCAUGGCUCAGGAUGAACGCUGGCGGCGUGCCUAAUACAUGUAAGUCGAACGGAAGAUGUAGCAAUAUGUCUUUAGUGGCGAACGGGUGAGUAACGCGUUGGUGACCUGCCCCGAAGAGAGGGAUAACAGACCGAAAGGUUUGCUAAUACCGCGUAAUUUCCUUCUAGUUAGAGAGGAGGGAAGAAAGGCCGAAAGGCGCUUUGGGAGGGGCCUGCGUCCCAUCAGCUAGUUGGCGAGGUAAAAGCUCACCAAGGCGAUGACGGGUGGGGGACCUGAGAGGGUGACCCCCCACAAUGGAACUGAAACACGGUCCCUACACCUACGGGUGGCAGCAGUAGGGAAUAUUGGUUAAUGGGCGAAAGCCCGACCCAGCAACGCCGCGUGCACGAAGAAGGCCUUCGGGUUGUAAAGUGCUUUUUAGUGGGAUGAGGAAGGACAGUACCACUAGAAUAAGUCUCGGCUAACUACGUGCCAGCAGCCGCGGUAACACGUAGGAGACGAGCGUUAUCCGGAUUUACUGGGUGUAAAGCGCGUGCAGGCGGUCGGGUAAGUUGGAUGUGAAAGCUCCUGGCUUAACUGGGAGAGGUCGUUCAAAACUGCCGGGCUAGAGUGCAACAGAGGGGAGUGGAAUUCCGAGUGUAGCGGUAAAAUGCAUAGAUAUUCGGAAGAACACCAGUGGCGAAGGCGGCUCUCUGGGUUGCAACUGACGCUCAGACGCGAAAGCUAGGGUAGCGAACGGGAUUAGAGACCCCGGUAGUCCUAGCCGUAAACGAUGUGGACUUGGCGUGGGUGGGUUGAAAUCCAUCUGUGCCGAAGCAAACGCGAUAAGUCCACCACCUGGGGACUACGGCCGCAAGGUUAAAACUCAAAGGAAUUG
rnacentral:rRNA from 1 species